AUUGAACGCUGGCGGCAUGCCUUACACAUGCAAGUCGAACGGCAGCGCGGGGCAACCUGGCGGCGAGUGGCGAACGGGUGAGUAAUAUAUCGGAACGUACCCUGGAGUGGGGGAUAACGUAGCGAAAGUUACGCUAAUACCGCAUACGAUCUAAGGAUGAAAGCAGGGGGACCGCAAGGCCUUGUGCUCCAGGAGCGGCCGAUAUCUGAUUAGCUAGUUGGUGGGGUAAAGGCCUACCAAGGCAUCGAUCAGUAGCUGGUCUGAGAGGACGACCAGCCACACUGGAACUGAGACACGGUCCAGACUCCUACGGGAGGCAGCAGUGGGGAAUUUUGGACAAUGGGCGCAAGCCUGAUCCAGCAAUGCCGCGUGAGUGAAGAAGGCCUUCGGUUGG
rnacentral:rRNA from 1 species